AUCGCGAUAGCUUGGCGGGCAGAGCAUCUGCCUGGUACGCAGAAUGCCGCUGGUUUGUUUCCGGCUCGUGAUG
rnacentral:tRNA from 1 species